rnacentral:rRNA from 1 species
GACGAACGCUGGCGGCGUGCUUAACACAUGCAAGUCGAGCGGAGCGGCGAACGGGUGAGUAACGCGUGAGUAACUGCCCCCCUCUCUGGGCUAACAGUUGGAAACGGCUGCUAAUACCGGAUAGUGGGGGAUGAGUUGCGUCCUAUCAGCUUGUUGGUGGGGUAGUGGCCUACCAAGGCGACGACGGGUAGCCGGCCUGAGAGGGCGACCAGCCACAUUGGGCUGAGAGACGGCCCAAAAGGCUACGGGAGGCAGUAGUGGAGAAUAUUGCACAAUGGGGCAACCCCUGAUGCAGCAACGCGCGUGCGGGAUGACGUGCUGCGGGUUGUAAACCGCUUUCAGCCAUGACGCGGUAGUGGCAGAAGAAGCACCGGCUAACUACGUGCCAGCAGCCGCGGUAAUAC